GGAAGUGAUUCACGUAAAAUCUAUAUUGUACAUUAUUUUUAAAUUGAUGACACUUUAAACUCCUUACAUUGAACUUUGUUUAAUGUUAAGGAUCAAGUUUAAUGUCACAAUUUUUAUGAUAAACCUGUUUACAAUAUAGUUUACCGCAUUUCUACCUUCCUUAAUAUAAAAAAGAAAAUGUCGCGACCCAUUGGAUUCCAGUCAAAGAAAUUAUAGAAAGUCCCAUAUAACCGGGCAUUUUAUUCAAAAAAUAAAAUGUCUUGUUUUGUUGUAUGUGGAUCUAUAAAAUUAUCUGACUGAUUAUUCGAUGGUAUCAAAAAAACAAAAAAAUAAGACUAACCCGCACAUUUAUGAUGCGUUUGAAUAUUUUUGCAAUUAUUUUUUUUUCAAUGUGAUUGAUUCUUUUAUUACGGACCUAAUGGUCCGUAUAAGAGUAAGCAU
rnacentral:rRNA from 1 species